GCGAGUUAUUCCUUUGAUGUGCAAAGCACUCACAGAAAGUCCCGUUUCUCUGAACACAGUAGGAGUGAAGCCCCGAGACAGCUUCUUGGCUCUGAGCUGCAAGUGUUUCUGCAGGGACCAGGCUGGCAGUAGAGUCCCUCAGGGUGAGCUGCUGGGAUCAGCACGGUGUCAUGAUGGAAAACUCUUCAGUGUGCUGCAUCUGUAAAACUGCUUUAUUCCCAGAUUCCUCCUUCGACCUGGCACUUACCUGUGCACACAUUUAGUCAGAUCCAGCGUGCUGUAUUCAGCAGGGUCUGCUCUCCUUCUGCACAACCCUGUGCCUCGUUACUGCCCAGCCUGUACUUUACUCGCCACCUUGCAGUACCUGAGUGCCACGUGCAGUCUGAGCCCACGCUGCACACUGCAGCCCAUCUCUGUUUAUCCCAGCAGGAAAUGGAGGCUUUAUCCACACAGCACAGGCAAGCCAGAUGGGGCUCCGCCAGCAUCGAUGCAGCCGAACCCGAACGGCGCAUGGGAACACCCUUUGUGCGAGGCAGCGCUUUGUCGCGGCGGCGAGAGCCUCGCCUCACACGAAAGCCUUCCCGCCGCACGGUGAGGAGCGGACGAGUGCCACAGCGGCCCGGGCGGUGCGGUGGCGGAGGGCACGGCGGGCACGGCGGGCACCGCCCGCCCCACGGCCCGGCCUGAGGCGGGGCCUCGCCCGCUUCCAACAUGGCGGCGCCGCCCCGGAGGCCAUUUCGGACCGCGCGGGGCGGGGCCUCUGCCCGCUCCCAAAAUGGUGGGGGCGGCG